rnacentral:rRNA from 1 species
UAAGGAAUAUUGGUCAAUGGGCGCAAGCCUGAACCAGCCAUGCCGCGUGCAGGAAGACGGCCCUAUGGGUUGUAAACUGCUUUUGUCAGGGAAUAAACCCCCGCUCGUGAGCGGGGCUGAAGGUACCUGAAGAAUAAGCAUCGGCUAACUCCGUGCCAGCAGCCGCGGUAAUACGGAGGAUGCAAGCGUUAUCCGGAUUCAUUGGGUUUAAAGGGUGCGCAGGCGGAUUGGUAAGUCAGGGGUGAAAUCCCACAGCUCAACUGUGGACCUGCAUUGGAUACGGUAGGCCUAGAGUAUGGUUGAAGUGGGCGGAUUGUGUCAUGUAGCGGUGAAAUGCUAAGAUAUGACACAGAACACCGAUCGCGAAGGCAGCUCGCUAAGCUAUAACUGACGCUCAUGCACGAA